UGGAUCACCUCCUAACAGGGAGACAACAAAAUGUUUAAUAUUAUUAUUUUGUCACCUUAGGUCGAUCGGUAUCUCACGUUCUUAAUUUAUUAAGAAUUUCAUUUCCUAAGUUUUUCUAGGUCACACCCAUUAUUUUCCUGGGCCAUUAGCUCAGGUGGUUAGAGCGCACCCCUGAUAAGGGUGAGGUCCCUGGUUCAAGUCCAGGAUGGCCCAUAUCUCUAUGUUGGGGGUAUAGCUCAGUUGGUAGAGCGCCUGCUUUGCAAGCAGGAUGUCAGCGGUUCGAGUCCGCUUACCUCCACUGAUCACCACCUCUUCCAUAAUCGAUAGAAAGGAAAUGUUUUGAGUUGUGAUCUAAUUCUGAACGAAUCUAGCUUCCUAAUGAAAUUAUUAAGAUGCUGGACUCAUUGAAUUAAUUUCAUUGUUUUCAGAGAACCUUGACAACUGCAUAGAUUAUUUUUUAAAGACAAUAAGCAUCUUUAAUGAUGCAGAUUUAUUAUUUGUGCAAAUGCAUUAAUAACAAUUCUAUUAAGCUGAUGCUUCAAUUUUGAAGUUAUUGGUCAAGCUACAAAGGGCUCACGGAGGAUACCUAGGCACACAGAGGCGAUGAAGG
rnacentral:tRNA from 1 species